UGCAGAGGUCUCAAGCGUUGUUCGGAUUCAUUGGGCGUAAAGGGUGCGUAGGUGGCGCCGUAAGUCAGGUGUGAAAUUUCGGAGCUUAACUCCGAAACUGCAUUUGAUACUGCGGUGCUUGAGGACUGGAGAGGAGACUGGAAUUCACGGUGUAGCAGUGAAAUGCGUAGAUAUCGUGAGGAAGACCAGUGGCGAAGGCGGGUCUCUGGACAGUUCCUGACGCUGAGGAACGAAAGCUAGGGGAGCAAACAGG
rnacentral:rRNA from 1 species